UGGGGAAUUUUGGACAAUGGGCGAAAGCCUGAUCCAGCAAUGCCGCGUGUGUGAAGAAGGCCUUCGGGUUGUAAAGCACUUUUGUCCGGAAAGAAAUCCUUGGCUCUAAUACAGUCGGGGGAUGACGGUACCGGAAGAAUAAGCACCGGCUAACUACGUGCCAGCAGCCGCGGUAAUACGUAGGGUGCAAGCGUUAAUCGGAAUUACUGGGCGUAAAGCGUGCGCAGGCGGUUUGCUAAGACCGAUGUGAAAUCCCCGGGCUCAACCUGGGAACUGCAUUGGUGACUGGCAGGCUAGAGUAUGGCAGAGGGGGGUAGAAUUCCACGUGUAGCAGUGAAAUGCGUAGAGAUGUGGAGGAAUACCGAUGGCGAAGGCAGCCCCCUGGGCAAUACUGACGCUCAUGCACGAAAGCGUGGGGAGCAAACAGGAUUAGAUACCCUGGUAGUCCACGCCCUAAACGAUGUCAACUAGUUGUUGGGGAUUCAUUUCCUUAGUAACGUAGCUAACGCGUGAAGUUGACCGCCUGGGGAGUACGGUCGCAAGAUUAAAACUCAAA
rnacentral:rRNA from 1 species